AACUUUCAACAACGGAUCUCUUGGUUCUGGCAUCGAUGAAGAACGCAGCAAAAUGCGAUAAGUAAUGUGAAUUGCAGAAUUCAGUGAAUCAUCGAAUCUUUGAACGCACAUUGCGCCCGCUGGUAUUACGGCGGGCAUGCAACUGUUUCGAGCGUCAU
rnacentral:rRNA from 1 species